rnacentral:rRNA from 1 species
UAGGGAAUCUUCGGCAAUGGGGGGAACCCUGACCGAGCAACGCCGCGUGAGUGAAGAAGGUUUUCGGAUCGUAAAGCUCUGUUGUUAAGGAAGAACGAGUGUGAGAAUGGAAAGUUCAUACUGUGACGGUACUUAACCAGAAAGGGACGGCUAACUACGUGCCAGCAGCCGCGGUAAUACGUAGGUCCCGAGCGUUGUCCGGAUUUAUUGGGCGUAAAGCGAGCGCAGGCGGUUAGAAAAGUCUGAAGUGAAAGGCAGUGGCUCAACCAUUGUAGGCUUUGGAAACUGUUUAACUUGAGUGCAGAAGGGGAGAGUGGAAUUCCAUGUGUAGCGGUUAAAUGCGUAGAUAUAUGGAGGAACACCGGUGGCGAAAGCGGCUCUCUGGUCUGUAACUGACGCUGAGGCUCGAAAGCGUGGGGAGCGAACAGG